AACGUAGGAGACAAACGUUAUCCGGAGUUACUGGGCGUAAAGGGCGUGUAGGUGGUUUCGUAAGUCUGGCGUGAAAUAUCUCGGCUUAACCGAGGCAGGUCGUCGGAUACUGCGGAACUAGAGGACGGUAGAGGCGUGUGGAAUUCCGGGUGUAGUGGUGAAAUGCGUAGAUAUCAAGAGGAACACCUGAGGUGAAGACGGGUUGCUGGGCUGACACUGACGCUGAGGCGCGAAAGCCAGGGGAGCAAACGGG
rnacentral:rRNA from 1 species